rnacentral:rRNA from 1 species
AUUGAACGCUGGCGGCAGGCCUAACACAUGCAAGUCGAACGGUAACAGGAAGCAGCUUGCUGCUUUGCUGACGAGUGGCGGACGGGUGAGUAAUGUCUGGGAAACUGCCCGAUGGAGGGGGAUAACUACUGGAAACGGUAGCUAAUACCGCAUAACGUCGCAAGACCAAAGAGGGGGACCUUAGGGCCUCUUGCCAUCGGAUGUGCCCAGAUGGGAUUAGCUAGUAGGUGGGGUAACGGCUCACCUAGGCGACGAUCCCUAGCUGGUCUGAGAGGGUGACCAGCCACACUGGAACUGAGACACGGUCCAGACUCCUACGGGAGGCAGCAGUAGGGAAUAUUGCGCAAUGGGCGCAAGCCUGAUGCAGCCAUGCCGCGUGUAUGAAGAAGGCCUUCGGGUUGUAAAGUACUUUCAGCGGGGAGGAAGGGAGUAAAGUUAAUACCUUUGCUCAUUGACGUUACCCGCAGAAGAAGCACCGGCUAACUCCGUG